rnacentral:lncRNA from 1 species
GGCGUACAAGUACACAUGCAUGCAUAUAUCGAUCGUCCGAUGGAUGGACCGAUAUAUACUACAGCUAGCUGCUAAUUCUCAUUUAGCUCCCGGGGGCGAAGUUGGUAGCAAAGGCCCAUGCAUUGUUGUUGACUGGGUCGGCGACGUGGUCGAAGAGGUUCUCGACGGGUCCCUUGCCCGUGACGAUGGCCUGCACGAAGAAUCCAAACAUGGAGAACAUGGCGAGGCGGCCGUUCUUGAGCUCCUUGACCUUGAGCUCAGCGGCGGUGUCUGGGUCGUCGGCGAGACCGAGGGGGUCAAAGGCGCCACCGGGGUAGAUCUUGUCGAGCCCCUCACCGAGAGGGCCUCCACCAACACGGUAACCCUCGAUGAAGCCCAUGAGCACAACUUGGCAUGCCCAAAUGGCGAGGAUGCUCUGCGCGUGCACGAGGUUAGGGUUGCCCAGGUAGUCCAGGCCGCCCUCGGAGAAGAUCUGCGAGCCGGCCUUGAACCACACCGCCUCGCCGAACUUGACACCAUUCUUGGAGAGGAUCUCCGGGAACACGCACCCGAGCGCGCCAAGCAUCGCCCAACGAGAGUGGAUCACCUCGAGCUCCCUGUUCUUGGCGAACGUCUCUGGGUCAGCUGACAACCCCGCGGUGUCCCAGCCGUAGUCACCGGGGAACUCGCCGGUCAGGUACGACGGCGUCUGCUCGGAGAACGGGCCCAGGUACUUGGGACGGUCAGGGCCGUACCUAUAUAUACACGCACGGUCAUUUCAUCACCAUUAAUUUCAUUCAGGCGAAGCCAAUUGCGCGGUACUUGAUGCAUGUAGUACAUAGAAAUGUAGCUUUGGACGAAGAAAAAGAUAUACUUACCAGAUGCUCUGGGGUGCGCUCUUGACAGUCCGGCGCAUGGUGAUGCGGCCGCCGAAGUCGCCGACGCUGCGGACGAGGUCAUCGCGGCGUGGGGCGGUGCCGAGGAAGCUGGUGGUCUGGUGCAGCGCCGACGCGGCCAUUUCGAUCCCAAUUCAAGUGGUAAGGUCAGUGAGAGAUGAGCUGGUGGCUG